rnacentral:misc_RNA from 1 species
GAAGUGCGAUAAGUAAUGUGAAUUGCAGAAUUCAGUGAAUCAUCGAAUCUUUGAACGCACCUUGCGCUCCUUGGUAUUCCUUGGAGCAUGCCCGUUUGAGUAUCAUGAAAUCUUCAAAGUAAAUCUUUUGUUAACUCAAUUGGUUUCUACUUUGGUAUUGGAGGUCUUUGCAGCUUCACACCUGCUCCUCUUUGUUCAUUAGCUGGAUCUCAGUGUUAUGCUUGGUUCCACUCGGCGUGAUAAGUUAUCUAUCGCUGAGGACACUGUAAAAGGUGGCCAAGGUAAAUGCAGAUGAACCGCUUCUAAUAGUCCAUUGACUUGGACAAUACUUUUAUGAUCUGAUCUCAAAUCAGGUAGGACUACCCGCUGAACUUAAGC